rnacentral:rRNA from 1 species
UACGUAGGGUGCAAGCGUUGUCCGGAAUUAUUGGGCGUAAAGAGCUCGUAGGCGGUCCGUCACGUCGGCUGUGAAAACCCGGGGCUCAACUCCGGGCCUGCAGUCGAUACGGGCGGACUAGAGUACUGCAGGGGAGACUGGAAUUCCUGGUGUAGCGGUGAAAUGCGUAGAUAUCGUGAGGAAGACCAGUGGCGAAGGCGGAUCUCUGGACAGUUCCUGACGCUGAGGAGCGAAAGCGUGGGGAGCGAACAGG